GUAUAUAACCACACUGUGCCGAGCACAUGUCAUCUCAUCUGAUCUCAAAGCUAAGCAGGGUCAGGCCGGGUCAGUACUUGAAUGGGAGAGCUAGAAAGUCCAGAAUAAAUCCA
rnacentral:rRNA from 1 species